rnacentral:lncRNA from 1 species
CCGCCCAAGGAGGUCGUCGGCUCGCUCCGAUCCCCAUUCCGCAGUCGCCGCCCGAGUCAAAAAGAGGGAAGCUUCUCCCACCAGAGGAGAGAGAGCCCUUCCUUCCUUCCUCCCCUUCGGCUCCGCUUCCGCCCACCAACGACUACUAGUCGCGGCCACCGAGAGAGCCAAACCCUAAGCUCCCCCACGUCCCCCCUUUCCGGUUCCCCCCGCGAGCGGCGGCAGCGGCGGCGGCGAG